rnacentral:rRNA from 1 species
AUACGUAGGGUGCAAGCGUUAAUCGGAAUUACUGGGCGUAAAGCGUGCGCAGGCGGUUUUGUAAGACAGUGGUGAAAUCCCCGGGCUCAACCUGGGAACUGCCAUUGUGACUGCAAGGCUGGAGUGCGGCAGAGGGGGAUGGAAUUCCGCGUGUAGCAGUGAAAUGCGUAGAUAUGCGGAGGAACACCGAUGGCGAAGGCAAUCCCCUGGGCCUGCACUGACGCUCAUGCACGAAAGCGUGGGGAGCAAACAGGAUUAGAUACCCUGGUAGUCCACGCCCUAAACGAUGUCAACUGGUUGUUGGGUCUUCAUUGACUCAGUAACGAAGCUAACGCGUGAAGUUGACCGCCUGGGGAGUACGGCCGCAAGGU